rnacentral:rRNA from 1 species
UACGUAGGGUGCGAGCGUUAAUCGGAAUUACUGGGCGUAAAGUGUGCGCAGGCGGCAGAGCAAGUCGAGUGUGAAAGCCCCGGGCUUAACUUGGGAAUUGCGCUCGAAACUACUUUGCUGGAGUGUGGCAGAGGAAGGUGGAAUUCCACGUGUAGCGGUGAAAUGCGCAGAUAUCAGGAGGAACACCGAUUGCGAAGGCAGCUCGCUGGGACGUAACUGACGCUGAGACGCGAAAGCGUGGGGAGCAAACAGG